rnacentral:rRNA from 1 species
AGGUUAACCGAAUAGGGGAGCCGUAGGGAAACCGAGUCUUAACCGGGCGUUAAGUUGCAGGGUAUAGACCCGAAACCCGGUGAUCUAGCCAUGGGCAGGUUGAAGGUUGGGUAACACUAACUGGAGGACCGAACCGACUAAUGUUGAAAAAUUAGCGGAUGACCUGUGGCUGGGGGUGAAAGGCCAAUCAAACCGGGAGAUAGCUGGUUCUCCCCGAAAGCUAUUUAGGUAGCGCCUCGUGAAUUCAUCUCCGGGGGUAGAGCACUGUUUCGGCUAGGGGGCCAUCCCGGCUUACCAACCCGAUGCAAACUGCGAAUACCGGAGAAUGUUAUCACGGGAGACACACGGCGGGUGCUAACGUCCGUCGUGAAGAGGGAAACAACCCAGACCGCCAGCUAAGGUCCCAAAGUCAUGGUUAAGUGGGAAACGAUGUGGGAAGGCCCAGACAGCCAGGAUGUUGGCUUAGAAGCAGCCAUCAUUUAAAGAAAGCGUAAUAGCUCACUGGUCGAGUCGGCCUGCGCGGAAGAUGUAACGGGGCUAAACCAUGCACCGAAGCUGCGGCAGCGACACUGUGUGUUGUUGGGUAGGGGAGCGUUCUGUAAGCCUGUGAAGGUGUGUCGUGAGGCAUGCUGGAGGUAUCAGAAGUGCGAAUGCUGACAUAAGUAACGAUAAAGCGGGUGAAAAGCCCGCUCGCCGGAAGACCAAGGGUUCCUGUCCAACGUUAAUCGGGGCAGGGUGAGUCGACCCCUAAGGCGAGGCCGAAAGGCGUAGUCGAUGGGAAACGGGUUAAUAUUCCCGUACUUGGUGUUACUGCGAAGGGGGGACGGAGAAGGCUAUGUUGGCCGGGCGACGGUUGUCCCGGUUUAAGCGUGUAGGUGUGUGUUCCAGGUAAAUCCGGUUCACUUUAACACUGAGGCGUGAUGACGAGGCACUACGGUGCUGAAGCAACAAAUGCCCUGCUUCCAGGAAAAGCCUCUAAGCAUCAGGUAACAUCAAAUCGUACCCCAAACCGACACAGGUGGUCAGGUAGAGAAUACCAAGGCGCUUGAGAGAACUCGGGUGAAGGAACUAGGCAAAAUGGUGCCGUAACUUCGGGAGAAGGCACGCUGACACGUAGGUGAAGUGAUUUACUCAUGGAGCUGAAGUCAGUCGAAGAUACCAGCUGGCUGCAACUGUUUAUUAAAAACACAGCACUGUGCAAACACGAAAGUGGACGUAUACGGUGUGACGCCUGCCCGGUGCCGGAAGGUUAAUUGAUGGGGUCAGCGCAAGCGAAGCUCCUGAUCGAAGCCCCGGUAAACGGCGGCCGUAACUAUAACGGUCCUAAGGUAGCGAAAUUCCUUGUCGGGUAAGUUCCGACCUGCACGAAUGGCGUAAUGAUGGCCAGGCUGUCUCCACCCGAGACUCAGUGAAAUUGAACUCGCUGUGAAGAUGCAGUGUACCCGCGGCAAGACGGAAAGACCCCGUGAACCUUUACUAUAGCUUGACACUGAACAUUGAGCCUUGAUGUGUAGGAUAGGUGGGAGGCUUUGAAGUGUGGACGCCAGUCUGCAUGGAGCCGACCUUGAAAUACCACCCUUUAAUGUUUGAUGUUCUAACGUGGACCCGUGAUCCGGGUUGCGGACAGUGUCUGGUGGGUAGUUUGACUGGGGCGGUCUCCUCCUAAAGAGUAACGGAGGAGCACGAAGGUUGGCUAAUCCUGGUCGGACAUCAGGAGGUUAGUGCAAUGGCAUAAGCCAGCUUGACUGCGAGCGUGACGGCGCGAGCAGGUGCGAAAGCAGGUCAUAGUGAUCCGGUGGUUCUGAAUGGAAGGGCCAUCGCUCAACGGAUAAAAGGUACUCCGGGGAUAACAGGCUGAUACCGCCCAAGAGUUCAUAUCGACGGCGGUGUUUGGCACCUCGAUGUCGGCUCAUCACAUCCUGGGGCUGAAGUAGGUCCCAAGGGUAUGGCUGUUCGCCAUUUAAAGUGGUACGCGAGCUGGGUUUAGAACGUCGUGAGACAGUUCGGUCCCUAUCUGCCGUGGGCGCUGGAGAACUGAGGGGGGCUGCUCCUAGUACGAGAGGACCGGAGUGGACGCAUCACUGGUGUUCGGGUUGUCAUGCCAAUGGCACUGCCCGGUAGCUAAAUGCGGAAGAGAUAAGUGCUGAAAGCAUCUAAGCACGAAACUUGCCCCGAGAUGAGUUCUCCCUGAGACUUAAAGUCUCCUGAAGGAACGUUGAAGACGACGACGUUGAUAGGCCGGGUGUGUAAGCGCAGCGAUGCGUUGAGCUAACCGGUACUAAUGAACCGUGAGGCUUAACCUUACAACGCCGAAG